UACAGAGGUCUCAAGCGUUGUUCGGAUUCAUUGGGGCGUAAAGGGUGCGUAGGCGGCGCGGUAAGUCGGGUGUGAAAUCUUGGAGCUUAACUCCGAAACUGCAUUCGAUACUGCCGUGCUUGAGGACUGGAGAGGAGACUGGAAUUCAUGGUGUAGCAGUGAAAUGCGUAGAGAUCAUGAGGAAGACCAGUGGCGAAGGCGGGUCUCUGGACAGUUCCUGACACUGAGACACGAAGGCCAGGGAGCAAACGGG
rnacentral:rRNA from 1 species